UGGAGCGGCCGAUAUCAGAUUAGCUAGUUGGUGGGGUAAAGGCCUACCAAGGCUACGAUCUGUAGUUGGUCUGAGAGGACGACCAGCCACACUGGGACUGAGACACGGCCCAGACUCCUACGGGAGGCAGCAGGGGGGAAUUUUGGACAAUGGGCGCAAGCCUGAUCCAGCAAUGCCGCGUGCAGGAAGAAGGCCUUCGGAUUGUAAACUGCUUUUGUCAGGGAAGAAAUCUUCUGGGCUAAUACCCCGGGAGGAUGACGGUACCUGAAGAAUAAGCACCGGCUAACUACGUGCCAGCAGCCGCGGUAAUACGUAGGGUGCGAGCGUUAAUCGGAAUUACUGGGCGUAAAGCGUGCGCAGGCGGCUUUGCAAGACAGAUGUGAAAUCCCCGGGCUCAACCUGGGAACUGCGUUUGAAACUACAAAGCUAGAAGGG
rnacentral:rRNA from 1 species